GCCAGUUUUUAGGGCCAAUUGACUGACUAAUCCAAGCUUGCCAGCUUGUGGCGGAAAAAUAGAUCCAAACACACAUGCUCCCACAUUUAUGUGAUGACUUUACUCGGGGCCCACACCAUCGCCCUCUGGCCCCUAUUCCUCCAUCCUGAUGAGAUUUCUGGUUGGUUUAUGGUUACAUGGCAACCAACCAGUGUACAUAACGCCUCCCACCCCCAGACCCCCUUAGCUGGGAGACCCCAUGCCCUUUGCCCUCUCCCUUCUUGCUGCCUGGAAGAUGGACCUGGUGCCUAGAGACACGGCAGCUGUCUUGACCAUGGGACACAGCCACGCCCUGAGGAUGGCCGUGCAGGGAGACAGAGGAGGCUGGUUCCUGAAUGAGCGCAUCAACCCCAGACCACUCGUCCACCCUGGACAACUUGUCAGGGAUGAAGUGAGGAUCAAAUGAGUUAAAAGCUCGAGUUCUUCGGACUGUGACAGGCAGAGAAAAAGCGCUAAGUGCUGGCCGUUAAUAGUCUAGGUGGCCUUGGAAUCAAACCGAGGGGCCAGUUGCUUCUGCCGUGGUGGUGUUGUCCAAGACAAGAAGGAUGGCCCUGCGACCCCGGAGUCGCCAGGCAACCACUGUGCCUGCUGGUCCUCCUGCCUCCUGCUUCCCCCAGGCGUCAGGGCCACGGUCCAGGGAGGCCUGUGACACCAAGACAGCUCACCUGAGGCUACAGAUGUUCGCCAAAUGUACCCACGUCUGCUAUUCUCACCCAGGUGCCAUUAUCCACACCCUGGGUGUGAACUGAUUUUGCUUUUGGAGUGUAGAAAAAUAUGUGGAUGUGUGAAAAGUAAAGCAAACACUUGUUAUUCCAAAGUGUGAGCUUCAGCUGAGCUAAACAUAUGUAAAGUUAUAGUGGGAAGACCAGUGAACUAAAAUGAGUAGAGAUAGAACUUUCUAGAAAAAGAUCCUGGAUGGACUCCCUAUGAAACUUAUAUUUGUUUGAUUAAAAAAAAAAAAAACGACUGCAAUUACGCACAAAGCUUUCAGGCCCUUGUACCUGGCCUCCGUUCCCCUAAAUGAAUUGGUUUGCAGUGAUCAUUGGGAAGUCGUUCAUUCAACCAGCUAUUCAUCCAAGAAUUUACUGAGUGUGAGUUUGAAUUUAUUGAGUGUGAGUCAGGCACUGUGGCAUCCUCCUUGCUCAGUUUACAGUCUGUGGGGCACAAGCAAAUGCACACUUCUAAUAGAAGGAUUCGGAUUAUACUUGUGGUAAGGGCAGAGAGCCGACAAAAACAAAGGAAGGGCCUUCAGCCCAGGUGGCACAUCCAAGAAGACUUCCCAGGGCAGUCUGAUUAUCAGAGCAGAAUCCUGAAGGGAUAAAAAUAGUCAGAAGUCACGGCGCUUAUCUGCAUGCAACAGAAAUCAGCAAUGGCUGAUUCUCCCGAAAAGGGACUCAUUAAAGGAUAACUGAGUAAUUCACCAGAGGGCUGGGAGAGAGGAGGAACCACGCCCAAUGCUGAGUGUCCAGAAGUGGCCUGAUGAGGCAUGUGCCACCGCAUUGGGCUCACCAACCACCGGGGGAACUGCCACGGCCCUAUGUGCCCAGUGAUGCCACAGCUCGCCCUGUGACCACUGCUGCCCUGAGUGCUGGCUGCUUCUGCCACCAUUCUCGCCGCCUUCUGCAAGUUGCUGAUGUCUGAAUCAGAGAGCCACACGGUGGCAGCUAGUCACACAUCUGCAUUCAGCUGCAAGGGAAGUUUUGAGUUUGCUGGGCACCCAGAAAAUGUAAAAAAGCCACAGACACAGUGAGGAGGGUGGCCUGGAUAGAAACAGCCCCCCGUGCAAAGAGCCAGGGAAACAGUUUCAUCUUCUAUCUCCCUUAUUCGUCCAACAACCCAAGUCUUGAGAAACGCACAGAUGUUUGUCAUUGGCCAACCUUUUACUUUGCCAAAAAAGGCAUGAAAAUGACAACUACUGCUGCAAUUUAUUAUCAUUAUCAGUUGCCAAAAUAAAGGAUACUUAAUGCCAAAAAGGGAUGAAGGGCUUAAUUCCAGGAUCAGGAACAGUAAUUUGACGUGCAUGAAUUAGGCUUAACGAAAACCUGCAGUGCAGUGUCCUGUAUCUCUUUUUUUUGUAUGUACCGGUGGAAGCUUCAUCGAGGCCAGCGAUGCCCCAUGCACUGGCAUUUGGAAGUCAUUCAUUCAUCUGCUCUAAACAUGGGGACCACGGAAGGUGGGGAGUUAGGCAGAAAGAGCCAUGGGUUUAUAUUUUAGAAAGGCCAUUCUGGUGGCCGUGUGGAGGAUGAGUUGAGGCGCCAAGACUGGUUCUGCAGGUACGGGGCAGAGAUGAUGGUGACCAGGACUAAGUUAGUGAGUAGUCCCAGGGAGAGAGGAGAAGAAAUGAGCGGUGGCUGAAUCAGAAGCCUUAAUGGCCAAUAUGAUGGGAGUGGGGGAGAGGGGGAAAAAGGACCAAGGAUGCCGUCCAGGUUUCUACAGUAUUUUCUGCCUCUACUUCUCACUGGCUUUCUUGGUCCAGAAUCUUUCAGCUACGCCUAACGUCUUUCUAUUUAGAGCCGAAGUCCCAGAACUGCCCACUCCCUCACCACGCUCCCUCCCACACUGUGUCUGACUCUGCUUCCCCUCCCCAACCAUGCUUCUAACCAUCCUCUCCCCACUUCCCGGGAAAGCCGUUCAUCGACGCCUGGGCUCCCCCUCCACGUCCUGACCCAGCCGUGUUCUCAGAGGCCGCACUGUCGGCCCCACUGCCUCCUGACUCCUGCCGCAUCAAAUGCCACACUAAGCUGAGUCUCUUCCUCUGCCUCCCACAUCCUCCUGGCCCUGAUAUCUGGGUCGGUCCAUGGCUUUGGGACUCCAGGCUUCUCCUCAGCUAAUCCUACCCAGCACUACCUGUUCGGAUCUGUCACCCCCUCCAGUUCCCAUCCCCCAAAGCCUUCUACCCACUCUGAGCAAACUCCAGGAGCCUUGGUCUGGCACUCAAGGCUGCUUGCCCCCGUCCCCAUCUUCCCAUCCCACUCUCCCUCCCCAGCCCUUCUUACAGCAGUGCACACUCCAACUUCUUUGAACUACUCAUUGCUCCCACACUUCGCCUCAUCAGAGAGGCCUUCCCAGAAUGCCCUGCUCUAUACCGAUGCCCUCCCCACCAACCCAAGGUCAUAGUACAUCACUUAUUUUUCUUCAUAGCACUUACGUGACCUUUCACUAAAUAUUGAUCUAGUCUAUCGUCUGUUUCCCAGUGGCACGUGGACUCCAUGGGGACAGGGAUUACCCCCCUGGGUCUAGAACAGCCCUGGGCAUAUAGAAGGUGCUCAAUCAAUAUCUAUGAAUGAACACCUCCCCCUGCCCUUUCAGUAUCCUCCUGGAUUUCCCCUGGAAAAUACCUUGGGUGUCUCUUCUCAUAGCCUCCGAAGACUCAACCACGCUCUCACUGGAAACCCCAGCACCCAACAGGCUCCCCUCUUUCUCAAAUCCUUCCUUGGUCCACUCUGACCACAGUGCUCGUCUCCCUGAGUUUCAGGUAUCUGCUCCUGGGUCUGGACCUUCCUUGUCGGAAUACAAACUCCUGCAGGGCCAGAAGCUGGCUCUUCUCUCCCUUGACGGGUCUCCCUUCACCCUCUGUGCGCAGGACCGGCAACCAGACAACAGGCACGGGAUGAGCAGCUCAUCGGCCCUUCCGCCAAGCUGCCCGCACGCAUUUCACGGAAGUUGAUGCUGACCCAGUUUGGGUAACUUUUGCUGCCCCCUCAAGGUGACAAUUACCCUGAAUGUACAGUAGAUAUUCUUUUCAAAAGUAAACCAAUUGAAAUGGAAAAUUAAGAAAAAUGACUUUAGAUAUUUCAAAAGUCAUAGACAAAACCAAUUAAUCUCUUCACGUUUCCUUCUCUUCCACUAAGAACAUUGGGUCAGAGAAGCAAAGCUUUAAAAAUACCAUUCUUGCCAACCUGAACUUGGAGCAGAAAGUAAUAAUAUGAGCAAUUCAGAACAACAGGUAUAGCAAAUCUGGGUGAUUCAGUUUCCUUAGGAUGAGCGCUUUUUUUUUUUUAAGGGAAAAAAUUUACAUCCUUAUUUUCAUUAACCUCUAAGCGAACAUUAGCAUUUCCUCCAAGGAUGUGUACAGGCAAGGAACCUCUGUAAUAAUAGAAAUCCCUCUGAUUUUGUCAACAGUUUCUAAAUCUCAGAUUAUUUUUCUAUCUGUUAACAUUUCUGUAGCCAAGGCAAUGCUCGCCACUGUGUUGAGCUUAUGAUGGGUAGACAGACAUCGACCGUUCGAUCGUCUUAUUUAACACAUAUAGAAGCAUACCUACUACCACGCCACGAUUUUUAAAAAUCGUUUGGCAACUGUAUGUAAAUAUAAUUGCUUUCACUUGUGAUCUCAGAUUACUUUAUUCAUUUAUGUAAUUCUGAGGCAUCUACAGGCUCCAUCAAACUGCCAGCGGGGUCCAGGCAUGAGCAG
ensembl:lncRNA